rnacentral:tRNA from 1 species
UGCGGUGGUGGUGGAAUGGCAGACACGCUACUUUGAGGGGGUAGUGAACGUUCGUUCGUAUGGGUUCAAGUCCCAUUCACCGCAU